AAGGUUGGAGCCCUUAUAAGAAGAGGAAGACACAUCAGGUCUCUCUGCAAGCACACAGACUAAGUAAGGAGAGGUUACAGGAGCACGCAAUGAGAAGGCAGCUCUCUGCAAGCCAGGAAAAGAGCCCUCGCCAUAAAUCAAAUCGACUGGCACCUUAAUCUUGAACUUCCAGUCUCCAGAGCUGUUGGGUUAUCUCAGAAGCAGAACCUGAGACAAGAAAGUGAGUGGAAGCAGUUUAUUUGGGAGAAAGUCCCAGGAAGCACUGGUAGGAUGACAUUAAUGGUGUAAUUUGCUAUAAAGAAAGAGGCUGAAAAAUUUACUCCUGGGGAGUUAAAAACAGAAGGUGCACAGAGAGGUGUGUGAGAUAUAAAUUGCCUUGCAUAUAAAGGGCUCACUUGGCAGAGGAUUGCUGGGGGAGAGAUACAAUCCUCACAGCCUGAAACUCAACUCUCAAAACUCCUCACUUCAGCCUUGACCUCCAGAGCACCCAUUUCUUCCAACCGCUUGUAGAACUUUCUCUUUCAUCUGCUUCAACGCUCAGAGUUUUCAGCGGCAUUGACAAACAGUAGGAAUCAGGACUAAUGGCCAUAAACCUUGAUGGCAAUGACAUUCGGAUUCCCCUGGGAACCAAGGCCUGCACCUGGCACUUCAGUGCAAGAAGCAAAGAAGUACAAAAGAGCCUUUCACCCCGGAUUCUUUUUCCCCAUUCUGAAAAAGGGAUGCCUGGGAUGUGGGGAACUUUCCUCUUCCACAACAAAAGCUGUAAACUUAAACCCA